rnacentral:rRNA from 1 species
AACGAACGCUGGCGGCAGGCCUAACACAUGCAAGUCGAGCGGACCCUUCGGGGUUAGCGGCGGACGGGUGAGUAACGCGUGGGAACGUGCCCUUUGCUUCGGAAUAGCCCUGGGAAACUGGGAGUAAUACCGGAUACGCCCUUUUGGGGAAAGAUUUAUCGGCGAAGGAUCGGCCCGCGUUGGAUUAGGUAGUUGGUGGGGUAAUGGCCUACCAAGCCGACGAUCCAUAGCUGGGUUGAGAGGAUGAUCAGCCACACUGGGACUGAGACACGGCCCAGACUCCUACGGGAGGCAGCAGUGGGGAAUCUUAGACAAUGGGGGAAACCCUGAUCGAGCCAUGCCGCGUGAGCGAUGAAGGCCUUAGGGUUGUAAAGCUCUUUCACCGGGGAAGAUAAUGACGGUACCCGGAGAAGAAGCCCCGGCUAACUCCGUG